rnacentral:rRNA from 1 species
UACGAAGGGGGCUAGCGUUGCUCGGAAUCACUGGGCGUAAAGCGCACGUAGGCGGCUUUCUAAGUCAGGGGUGAAAUCCUGGAGCUCAACUCCAGAACUGCCUUUGAUACUGGAGAGCUUGAGUCCGGAAGAGGUGAGUGGAACUCCGAGUGUAGAGGUGAAAUUCGUAGAUAUUCGGAAGAAACACCAGUGGCGAAGGCGGCUCACUGGUCCGGUACUGACGCUGAUGUGCGAAAAGCGUGGGGAGCAAACAGGG